rnacentral:rRNA from 1 species
AUGCUCCCUUCGCGCCAUCUCCGCGCCGCCGUGCGGCAGAGAAGCCACCGCCCCCCAGCCGCCGGAGAAGCCUGCUCCGGAAAGCUCGACGCCGAUGUGAUCCGGCGCAACAAGGCCAUCACGGUCCACAUGCGCGCCGGCCGCGUCGGCGAGGCCGAGCGCCUAUUUGACGCCAUGCCCCGCCGCUCCACGUCCACCUACAACGCCAUGCUCGCCGGGUAUGCCUCCAAUGGACGCCUCCCUGUGGCGCUCUCCCUCUUCCGUUCCAUCCCACGCCCGGACACAUUCUCCUACAACACUCUCCUCCAUGCGCUGGCAGUCUCAUCCUCCCUCACUGACGCCCGCAGCCUGUUCGACGAAAUGCCAGUGAAGGACUCAGUGACAUACAACGUCAUGAUCUCGUCUCAUGCCAACCAUGGGCUUGUCUCUCUUGCACGGAAGUACUUCGAUCUUGCUCCGGAGAAGGAUGCUGUCUCAUGGAACGGCAUGCUUGCUGCUUAUGUCCGGAAUGGACGGGUUCAAGAAGCAAGGCAGUUGUUUAAUUCAAGGACAGAGUGGGAUGCCAUUUCUUGGAACGCCUUGAUGGCUGGGUAUGUGCAGUUGGGUCGGAUGGCAGAAGCACAGGAGCUUUUCGAUAGGAUGCCACAAAGAGAUGUUGUUUCCUGGAACACCAUGGUGUCAGGUUAUGCCAGGGGAGGGGAUAUGGUGGAGGCAAGAAGGAUGUUCGACAUGGCACCCGUGCGUGAUGUGUUCACAUGGACAGCAGUAGUUUCUGGGUAUGCUCAAAAUGGAAUGCUGGUGGAUGCCCGGAUGGUGUUUGAUGCCAUGCCUGAGAGGAACCCAGUGUCAUGGAAUGCAAUGGUGGCAGCAUAUGUCCAGCGGAGGAUGAUGGAGAAAGCAAAGGAGCUAUUUGACAUCAUGCCCUGCAGGAAUGUGGCAUCAUGGAACACAAUGUUGACAGGGUAUGCUCAGGCAGGGAUGUUGGAUGAGGCAAGGGCAGUUUUUGACAUGAUGCCGCAGAAAGAUGCAGUCUCUUGGGCUGCAAUAUUGGCUGCGUACGCACAAGCUGGUUUCAGUGAGGAAACCCUACAGCUGUUCAUCAAAAUGGGGCGGUGCGGUGAGUGGGUGAAUAGAUCAGCAUUCGCUUGUUUGUUGAGCACAUGUGCUGACAUUGCUGCACUCGAGUGUGGAAUGCAGCUGCAUGGGAGGUUGAUUAAAGCUGGGUACGGCUUGGGUAGGUUUGUUGGGAAUGCACUCUUAGCUAUGUACUUCAAAUGUGGAAACAUGGAGGAUGCUCGAAAUGCAUUUGAGCAGAUGGAGGACAGGGAUGCAGUUUCUUGGAAUACUGUGAUCGCCGGUUAUGCACGACAUGGUUUUGGCAAGGAAGCACUUGAGGUGUUUGAUAUGAUGAGAGCAACAUCAACCAAGCCAGAUGAUAUUACUCUAGUUGGAGUACUUGCAGCUUGUAGUCAUUCUGGCUUGGUCGAGAAAGGCAUUUCAUACUUUUAUUCAAUGCACCGCGAUUUUGGUGUGACAGCGAAGCCUGAACAUUAUACUUGUAUGAUAGACUUGCUUGGACGAGCUGGUCGAUUAGAUGAAGCACAGGGCCUUAUGAAGGACAUGCCAUUUGAGCCAGAUGCUACCAUGUGGGGUGCAUUGCUUGGUGCGAGUAGGAUCCACCGCAAUUCCGAACUAGGCAAGAGUGCAGCUGAGAAAAUAUUUGAGUUGGAGCCUGAAAAUGCUGGCAUGUAUGUCUUGCUUUCAAAUAUAUAUGCAUCUUCUGGCAACUGGCGUGAUGUGGGGAAGAUGAGAGUUAUGAUGGAGGAUCGUGGUGUGAAAAAAGUGCCUGGAUUCAGUUGGAUGGAAGUACAAAACAAAGUACACACUUUCUCGGUUGGUGACUGUGUGCACCCCGAAAAGGAAAAGAUAUAUGCUUUCCUGGAAGACCUUGACAUGAGGAUGAAGAAAGCUGGCUAUGUGUCAGCUACAGAAAUGGUUUUGCAUGAUGUGGAGGACGAAGAGAAGGAACACAUGCUAAAGUAUCAUAGCGAGAAGCUUGCUGUUGCUUAUGGUAUUCUAAAUAUUCCUAUUGGGAGGCCUAUCCGAGUGAUAAAAAACCUCAGAGUAUGCGGAGAUUGUCACAAUGCUUUCAAGUAUAUCUCUGCAAUUGAGGGCAGGCUGAUCAUCCUGCGGGAUUCUAACCGCUUUCACCACUUCAGAGAUGGUUCUUGUUCAUGUGGUGAUUACUGGUGA